UGGGGUAUAGCUCAGUGGUAGAGUGCAUGCUUAGUGUGCACGAGGUCUUGGGAUCAAUCCCCAGCACCUCCA
rnacentral:tRNA from 1 species